rnacentral:rRNA from 1 species
GACGUAGGAUGCAAGCGUUGUCCGGAAUUAUUGGGCGUAAAGAGUUCGUAGGCGGUUAUCUAAGUCUGGUGUUAAAGCCCGAAGCUCAACUUCGGCAUGGCAUUGGAAACUGGGUAGCUAGAGUGUGGUAGAGGUAUCGGGAAUUCCUGGUGUAGCGGUGAAAUGCGUAGAUAUCAGGAGGAACACCGGUGGGCGAAAGGCGGGUCUCUGGGCCUUACCUGACGC